AAUUCUUUCCAUUUAUUUUAUAAUCAAUCUUUAUGUGUAAUCACGCCGUUAUACAAUUUGUAAAUGAUUAUAUAUAUGAAAGACUCUAACCACUAAAAUGUGUGGUGGUUUUCAAACAUUCUCAUGAUAUCAGAAGCAUACCUGGAUUAGCACCCACGAUCCCCAAUGGCCCCUAAUUCUUCUCCCACCCUCCUUCCCUUCAACACCAUGAUUCACAUGGUUACCAUCAAACUCUCCUCCUCCAACUACCUUUUUAUGGAAUAGCCAACUUCUUCCCCUUCUCGAGAGCCAAGGUCUGCUGGGUCAUGUGGACGGUACUCUUGUGCCGCCACCUCCUUUUGAUCCUCCCACCUCUCAGACACCAAAUACCAAACACCUAGCAUGGAAAGCCACUGAUCAGCACCUACUGAGUCUUCUUCUCUCCUAUCUCACAGAGGAAGCCAUGGCUGAAGCCGUUGGCCUCUCCACAUCCCAAGAGGUCUGAACUGCUCUCGAAAACACCUUCAGCCACCGCUCUAAAGCCCAAGAAAUAUGCCUCAAAAAUGACCUCCAACUGAUGAAGCGUGGCACCCGUCCAGUCACUGCCUACGCCCAUGCUUUCAAAGCCUUAUGCGAUCAGCUUCAUGCCAUCGGUCGCCCUGUUGAUGGAACCGACAAAGUCCAUUGGUUUCUCCUUGGCCUAGGACCUGAUUUCUCCAUUUUUUCUACUGCCCAAAUGGCAUAGACCCCUCUCCCCUACUUCCCAGAUCUUGUGUCCAAAGCUGAGAGCUUUGAACUUUUUCAAAAGUCUCUUGAGAGUCCGACGCCUUUAGCUGUAGCGUUCAUCGCUAGCCAUGGCUCCUCUCAACGUGGGGGUGGCUCUUCUCGUUCCAGACGUGGCCGCAGGAAUGGCUCCAACCACGAGUCCUUCAGUCAUAGACAGGGUCGUGCCCAACCCACUCAAGGUCGCCGACCACCACAGUGCCAAAUUUGACGCUUGGACGGCCACUAUGCUGAUUGGUGCAAGCAACGCUAUGAUCGGCCCCAACAUGAUCCCUCGGCGCACCUUGCAGAAGCUUUCAACACUUGCUGCUCUGUGUCUGGCAAUGAAGCCCCCGAUUGGUUCUUGGACACAGGGGCUUCGGCCCAUAUGACUCCAGCCCACUCCACUUUGGACCAGUCCACUACUUACACAGAAUCGCCAAACGGGAAGGGUGGUGGCAACCGGUAAAAGAGAUGGAGGCUUAUAUGUGCUAGAGCGCGGAAAUUCCACCUUUAUUUCUAUCCUUAAAAAUAAAUCUCUUCAUGCUUCAUAUGAUUUAUGGAAUUCUCACCUUGGACAUGUGAAUCAUUCUGUUAUCUCUUUUUUAAAUAAAAAAGGACAGCUUUAUCUUA